rnacentral:lncRNA from 1 species
CUCAAUGCAAUUGACUUAACAUUAGGAAACCCACCGCCACCAGUACCGCCGUGCUGCUCGCUCAUUGCAGGCUUGGCUGACCUUGAGGCUGCAGUCUGUCUCUGUACCGCGCUGGACGUUAACGUUCUUGGCAUCAACGUUCACCUUCCCAUCGAUAUCAGCGUACUUUUAAAUGCUUGUAGCAGAUUUGCUCCACCAAGUUUCCAAUGCCCGUAAGUUGAAUACGUAUGAGAUAUCUGAAGACAUACCGAAAAAAUAAAGGUUGAACUUGUUGCCUGUAGUCUUUUGCUUUUAAACUGGUGAUUUCUUUUGUAUUUGUAACUUUCUUCGAUUGAAUAAAAUGAUGAGUGUAACGUUCUCAUGCAAUAAUGGGUUUGUGUGUGUAAUCGCCAUGUUCGUUGCCCUUUUACUUCAUUGUUCUACCUUACCUUCGUUUGUAAAACGUUUCGUUCGAAUUUGAUUAAUAAAAGCUUCAAUCGGUGUUAUUGUCUAUAUCGGGCUUAUAUGUGAAUCGAAAAAAGCAAGGUAAAGUUAUACGAUCUCACUGAACACAACACGGUUUAGUAAUUCCGUUGUAAGCAUUAAUUAAUGGCAUGUGCUUAAUUUUUGGUAACAAAAUGGAAACAAAAUACUCCUUCUGUUUCAUAAAGUUACAUAUUAUAUAGAAAAAAAAUUUGUUUCAAAAUGAUCUAUUUUCUGGAUUUUCAAUGCAUGUUUUAUUAUCUAAUUGCAAACUUAAAAAAAUUUAAUUGUACUUAUUAGAGUUUUAUUGACUUAAAAUUAUGGGAAAAAAUAAUCACAAAAAUUAUGAAAAUUAAUGUGUUUUAUUAACAUGUAUAAAAAAUCUAAAAUAUGUAACAUUUUAAAACGGAGGAGAGUAUCUCGAGCUUAAUUGAGCUGAAUACAUUUUGGCUCUACUUUGAUCGAACUAUCUCCAAACCAAAAUUGUUGUCAUAAAAGGGAAGAAAUAUAUGUAGUCGCUAUUACAUUACUUUAAUACACUUUUAUCAAACUACAUAAUAGUACAGUUAAUAUUACUAUUUUCUAGAUAACUACAAACUUGUUGUACUGGUACUAAAGGACGAAAUCGUGAUGUUAUAAAAGAAAUAUGUAUUUAAGAAUUUUUUUUUUUGGCAAAUGUGCAUCAGUUUUGUGAAGAAAUAGAACAAUGGUCUCGCUCCAGUACCGUUGACGAUCUAAAAAGGUUAAAAGGAUAUCAUGGUUUGAUUCUAACUCUAUAUCCAUGUGGUAUAAGAAUACCAAGUUAAAAAUUAUGUGUCACUAAGAGCAUUUUUAACUAUCUUAUUAUAUAAAUUAUAAUUAUUGAUUAUAAGAUGAUACUUGAAUAUUUGUUUAGAAAUAUAGCUAGGGCGCGAAUGGAGUGUGCGAUGUAACCGAUGAUCUCAUCACUUAUUUUUAUGGCAAAGAAUUUGAUAUAUUCUUUAGUUUUGGGGUUCCAUGGCUAUCAAGGUUUGUGAUUUGAGAUGAGCUAUGGUUUGGACUAGUUCUUGUUGAAGAUUAAAAACCAGAUAAAGCGAAUAUAUGGGUUUCAAGUAUCAUAAUAUCAGGUUUCUACGGGUUUGACUGGCAUUUCACUGAGGUUUCUAAGCCGGAUUCGUGUCCGUGUCCUCUUCUCUAGUCUUUGAUCUCUCUUUUAAAGGUCUUAAGAGUGGAACAUAAUGGAAACGUGAUCUCUGAUGAGGUUCAUAUGUCUAUAUGAUAGUAUUAAAUGUUUCGACCUCCUUUAUAUUGUAGUUUCAAAGUAUCAGCUCGGCAUGGACCCAUUGACGGUUUAGAGGGAGUGCCAACAGUGCAUUUGCACAGGACCCACUCUACUUUUAACAAAUUUCUUUUACUAGUUAAAGCCUUAAAAUUUUGAAAACUUGUAAAAAAACCAUAAAAUUUAAUACUAUACAUAAAUCCUCCCAAAAUAUAUAUUUCGGCUCAGGCCCAUUUUCAAAGUGAGCCGGCCCUGAUGGACCGUCUCUUGAGCUCGCCAUGGACCGUCUCUUGCGCUCGGCAUUGGGCAUGGAACUUGGUGGGCCCAUUGUCGCCUUAUGGGUUUCAAGGACACUCGUUCGGGUUCUCGGAACACUAAUACAGGAAGUCUAUUCAUGAAAAGGCAUGGUUUGUUUUGGAACUGUCGAUGUAUUAUUGCUCUCGUUGAAACUUAAUAAUAUAUAUUAUUGACAACAUACGGAUAUUAAUUGUAUGAUAAGUCCGUCCAUAUGGCAUGGAUAUAUAUAACAAAUGAAAAAUGAAGCCAUGAAUGUUUCUUCAUGUGAGAUUAUGCUUAGACUAAAUAAUGAUACUAGUCUGCCAAUGAAAUAGAAUUCGUCGAAAGAUAAUAUAUGUCCAUGUCGUGAACAACCUAUCAUGAAGGAAUAAAGAACAAUUAUUCCAUUCUAAUCACUCUUACAGAUUGAGAUUGGUAUAGUAGGUUGAGGGUGCGACGUAGCACAUAUAUAAUUUUAACGAAAUUAUUUAUCCCUGUAAUUAUAUAAUGAAGCCAAAAAAUUUAAAGUGUUAGUCUAUGAUAAAUCAUUAUAAAUAUUUAAUAUAAUUUUAUUACAUAUUUAUUGAUAAAUGAAAUAAGUAAAGGCAAUCAUUAUGAAAACUUCAUGAACAAAAAUAUUUCAAUUUAAUUUUCUCUUUUUCUCUUUUGAAUAUUUUUUUAAUCAGCCAGAAUUGUAUAUUCUCUAUUUGAACGAUAUUUCUCUCUUUUUUUGUCGCUCUGUGUAGACAAAAAGCAAAGUAAAAAACUAGUUCCGUUCUGGCUCUGGUUGGUGCCGGAGGUUUCCUCCUCCAACCAUAAUUUUCUUUCUCAUUUUUCUUUCUAUCCAUCUGCUUAACCCUAGUCCAUAAGCAAGUUUUUUAUGCUUGUCGAGAUUUUAUAUGAAGAAUUGUGUGAGGUCGAUGGUGACAGCAACAUGCAUUUUAUGGCGCAGCAACAAGACUCAUAGUGUGAUGGAUGCGGAAGGGCUGGCUUUUAGGGCUGAAGUGAGCCGUCAGAUUUGGUUUUUGGUUUUUGGUUUUUAGAGAUCUGGCACGUCAUUCAAGUCAACGGCGCCUGAACCGGUAACAUGCUUCCUCCACCAUAUAUGUACCUUCGUCUUUGGCAGUGGGAGCUUCCGGAAGAGAGGUAUGACGUCUGGUGAAAAGUGGUUCGUUCUGCAUCCUCAUAAUGUAAUUGGGUCUUCUGUUCUGAACGGUGGUACGAGCUUCAAAUCUCUUGAAAUUAUUUUUGGACUGGUAUGUACCUGUUUUCAAGGCCCAACUUUUGUUUCAUUUCAGACUCAUUGGUCCCGUCUUGUUGGCUAUUGGUUUGAGAUUUUAAUAAGCGGUUAUAUUGGAUCUAAUCUAGGAACACACCUUUGGUGUCAAGUUGUCAAUACAUGAAUAUCACUCUAAUCUUGUUGGCUACAAUCAACUAUGUAGAAAAUUAUAGUCUUAAUUAGGUCUAGUCCAUCGAUAGAUUUUGUCUUUGUAACUGUGAGGUGCAGGAGACAUUUUAUUACUUACGAUUUUGGCUGAAUGAAUUGGUUCUCGUUUAUGUCUUUUGUUAAGUGCACACUUCAGGGCAAUUAGGUAACGUAGGAUGCCCUUGAAUUCUUCUAAGUAUUACUAUUUUGAUCCUAUUUGUGUGAUGGUGGUCGAAACCUCUUGUAAAGUAUAUGAUAGCGUACCAUGAUUUAGUGAAUAUACAUUGAUGUUUGAGCCAAAGAAAAAUUCAUGAACAAUAACUCCAUGUGCAGCUCUGUUCAUAACAUUGAUUCCUCUCCCAUGACUCCAGGUGCAGCUCUCUCUUCAUAAUAUUGAUUCUCCCAUAACAUGGAUGACAUCUGAAUUACACUUACACUCAUAAUAAGUAGAUUCUUUUCGAAUAAAAUUUGCAACAUACAAUACCAAGACAGAUGGUUCUACUUUUCAUAUAGUUUUUAUAUUGAUUAAUCUGCAGAAGCUACAAUAUCAGAAAUAAAACCCUAAAUAUUAUAUGAAAAUAAUUGAUGAGAGUAGGAAAUAUGUUCGUAACGAUUUAGUAUAUUAGAAUUUUAUGAGAAUAAAAAUUUAAAAUGCAUAGAUAUAAAUAAAUAGAAUUAACUUAGCUUUCUUAAAUUCUAUGGAACGUAAAUUUGUAAACUGUGGUAUUGAGUAAUAUAGCCAGUUUCAAAUAUAGUAUAUAUGUGGUCAGUUUCUUCAAUUUUCUUGAAUAGUCAUGAUAUUUUAAUCCAAGAUAUGGUCGAUCUUGUGUAUCUUUUAAUACACUGCAAUACAAUCAUAUAUAAUGAACUCAUGUGAAAUUACGUAUGUCAUCAAAAAUAUGUUUGAACGUUUCAACGUUCACCUUCCCAUCGAUAUCAGCGUACUUUUAAAUGCUUGUAGCAGAUUUGCUCCACCAAGUUUCCAAUGCCCGUAAGUUGAAUACGUAUGAGAUAUCUGAAGACAUACCGAAAAAAUAAAGGUUGAACUUGUUGCCUGUAGUCUUUUGCUUUUAAACUGGUGAUUUCUUUUGUAUUUGUAACUUUCUUCGAUUGAAUAAAAUGAUGAGUGUAACGUUCUCAUGCAAUAAUGGGUUUGUGUGUGUAAUCGCC